rnacentral:rRNA from 1 species
UACGAAGGGAGCUAGCGUUGUUCGGAAUCACUGGGCGUAAAGCGCACGUAGGCGGAUUUGCCAGUCAGGGGUGAAAUCCCGGGGCUCAACCUCGGAACUGCCUUUGAUACAGCAAGUCUUGAGUUCGAGAGAGGUGGGUGGAAUUCCUAGUGUAGAGGUGAAAUUCGUAGAUAUUAGGAAGAACACCGGUGGCGAAGGCGGCUCACUGGCCCGGUACUGACGCUGAGGAACGAAAGCCAGGGUAGCGAACGGG